GCCUGGCUGGGUCAGUCGGAAGAGCGUGUGACUCUUGAUCUCAGGGCUGUGGGUUUGAGCCCCAUGUUCGGUG
rnacentral:tRNA from 1 species